CGGCAAAACUCCCGGAUGGUUCUUUCUCACCAUAGUUGGUGUGUUCCUGGUGGCCAGUCCCGCAGUGCUGCUGCCUGAAGUUUGGCAAUACAUGAAUGCUUACAUGGGUGAACAACUGCUCACUCACUCCGGUUAUCUUUUUGCCGGGCAACUUUACAAGAACAACAUGUCGAGCUCGCCGUUUUGGGGAACACCUUUCUAUUUUUACCUGCUCUUCCUUGCGAUCAAGGUGCCGUUACUGACGUUGAUCGCGUUUCUCAUCGGUCUCGCGAUCGCGGUAAAGGGCUGGCGUCACGUGGGGCAUGCUUUUCUGAUCUUCAUGUUUCUGUUCUGGAUCGUUCCUUACUCUUUAAUCGGAGGGAAGUGGCUCAGGUAUACCCUUUCGGUAAUGCCUUUUGUUUACAUGCUGGCGGCGGUGGGCAUCGUCGGUUUGGUACGUUGGACCACGUCGUGGUUCUCGGACGCAAAGCGAGCGGUAUUUAUCGUCUCCGCAAUAGCGGUCGCGCUAUUUGUGGUGGCUCCGGCGUGGACGACGUUUGCCGGCCGCCCACACUAUGCUCUUUACACAAAUGCGUUGGGCGCCGGAAAGGCUGGUUACUUCUUUCCGCAUGACGAGUUUUAUGACGAUGGACUGCGAGAGGCGAUCAAGUACGUUUGCGAACAAGCGCCAACUGGGGCAACAAUCGCGCAUGAGACACCGGCGGUGACGCGUUAUUACCUGCGAGUGUUUGGACGCACGGACCUGAAUUCACAAGCGACCUCCGCGAAAGAGUUUGAUGUGCGGACGGCCGCGGGGACGGUUUACGUGAUUGUGCAAAGAGGACGCACUUACUUUGAAAACCGGGAAGAGUUGGAUCACGUGCGUGCGCAUUUUCGACUAGUUCAUGAAGUAAAGAUUGAUGGCGCCAGCGCGGUUGAGGUGUUUGUAAAAUAAUUGAAAUGGUCCCCGCAAGGCGCUAAGGCGCAAAGAAGAAAUUCAGGUUUUUCCUUUGCGUCUUUGCGCCUUUGCGUGAGAAAACCACUCUAUGAACAUGAGAAACCGAAAACCCUUACUUUAUUCCCUAUCAACACUCGUCAUAAUGCUCUCGCUCUUUCUCGUCGGCAGAAGCUUUGCUCCCGAUCGAGUUCAGAUAACGAUCCUUGGCACCACCGAUCUCCACGGCAAUAUCAACCCCAUCGACUACUACACGAACAAGCCCGACAACCGUGGUCUUGCAAAGGUGGCCACGCUGAUCAAACGCGUUCGCAAAGAACAUCCCAACGUACUCCUGGUCGACUCCGGCGAUACGAUUCAAGGCUCACCACUCGAGUCGUUUCACGGCCGCAAAAACAAUCAGCCGCCCGAUCCGAUGAUGCUGGUGAUGAGUUCGCUGGACUACGACGCGAUGGCGGUCGGCAAUCAUGAAUACAAUUUCGGUCUCAAAGUGCUUGAAAAGGCCCGCCACGAAG
rnacentral:misc_RNA from 1 species